UGUAGGCGUAUGAACACAUCAUAGAAUGUUACAAAUGGGAAUGUUGUUUGCUCUGUUGUUGUUACUAAUACUACUGAAUCAGUCAAAUGGACAGUGCAAUCCGUGUGAAGAGUACAGUGAUUGUGUUCUUAGUUUUGUAUAUAAUAAUAAAGAUAAUAUUUAUACAAAAGUUACAGUAUUCUCAUUGAAAAUUAACGAUGAUUUUGUUGCAAACUGCUACACUGAAAACAAUAUGGAGUGUAACGCUUAUGAAAAAAAUGAAAACCUUAUUGACUACGCUAUACAAAAGGAAAACGAAUCAUUUAUAGUCAAUGUCAAGCUCUUUAAUAUAAGCCGGGAAAAGAACUCAAUUCUGACUGAGCGCCGAUUGCAAUUGUACGCCAAUUUUCAGAACAAAACGUUUGGUCAACGUUUAUUGUAUUCGUGUGAUAUAAAAUGUUAC